UACGUAGGGCGCAAGCGUUGUCCGGAAUUAUUGGGCGUAAAGCGCGUGUAGGCGGCUCGGUAAGUCUGCUGUGAAAGUCCAAGGCUCAACCUUGGAAAGCCGGUGGAUACUGUCGAGCUCGAGUCCGGAAGAGGCGAGUGGAAUUCCUGGUGUAGCGGUGAAAUGCGCAGAUAUCAGGAGGAACACCGGUGGCGAAGGCGGGUCUCUGGGCCGGAACUGACGCUGAGGAGCGAAAGCGUGGGGAGCGAACAGG
rnacentral:rRNA from 1 species